AAGGAGCUGCCCCGGACAGAUGACGCGGCCUCUUGAGCCAGGCCCGCAUGCCCGAGCUGCUCUCCCCUGCGGGGCAGUGUGUGGUCACAGGCAAACGUGUUUUCUUGAACGCUUACAGCAGCUGUGAAGAGCAGAUCCUGCCCUGUCCGGCCUGCACACCUUUGCCUGGGCCUGCCCACCAUCUGGAAUCUCCUUCCCAACCGGCUGCCCCAUUGUUGAAAUCCUACUUGUUGGGUAGAAGGAACGAAUGGCUGGAUGGUUUGAGGGUGGGCCUGGGAGGAGCUGGCCUGCGUGCAGCAGAGGUUUCCAGAGAGGAAGCGCUGGCCCAUGAGUCAGGGGUAUGGCCAGAGGCCCCGGGGGUGCUUCGGGGGGUUAGUCAUCCGGGCGAGCGGCAGACAGGCACCCAUCGAGAGGGCUGUUCCACCCCCGCACUUGAGAUGGGAAAACAGCGGUGCCCAGGGUGCAUGAGUCACUUCCUCCCUGGGACACACCCCCUCCGUGGGAGGGGCGCCAGCUCCUGCUAGCACUGGGGGCCGUGCGUCUCCACGGGGCUGUGCAGUUGGGCUUCCCUGAAUCGCUCACAUCACCUCACUGGAGCCCACGGGGCACCUGGGGCUCCGUGACAUCAGGCUGAGUACGGGAUGCCGCCACCAAAAACAGAUGUGAAGCAAGAAUAAAGUUAUUUGGGUUCACUUUAAAAGUAAACUAGGAUCUUUAGAGAAAAUUGAGAUAAAAUAGUGAAAUAAAGGAAAGAGAAAUAAUUGACCCAGAGACAACCUCUUCUGCC